CAAGAAGAAACAGGUUUUUCUCUGUUUCACACCACUAAUGACAGACAGCAAACAUCUCUCUCAUUAACAUGACUGGCAUCACUGUCUGAACACCAAACUACGGCGAGAAGUUCAACACUUAAAAGUUUGUGUUGUGCAUAUCCUGUUUCGUGUGGGUGUGAAGAAAGGCUGUUGUGACUGUGUGACAUCCAUCCACAUGUAUGUAGGUUUGUUUUCCAGGCAGUAAACGCUCAUUAGUGAGGAAAGAGGUCCACAGAGCUCUUUCAAUCAGUCGGCCAGAUGUUUGCUGCUCUCUUUACACCCGAGAAACCCAACCCACACAACAUGC